rnacentral:rRNA from 1 species
GACGAACGCUGGCGGCGUGCUUAACACAUGCAAGUCGAACGGAAAGGCCCAGCUUGCUGGGUGCUCGAGUGGCGGACGGGUGAGUAACACGUGGGUGAUCUGCCUCUAACUUCGGGAUAAGCUUGGGAAACUGGGUCUAAUACCGGAUAGGACAAUCGUUUAGUGUCGGUUGUGGAAAGUUUUUUCGGUUAGGGAUGAGCCCGCGGCCUAUCAGCUUGUUGGUGGGGUAAUGGCCUACCAAGGCGUCGACGGGUAGCCGGCCUGAGAGGGUGGACGGCCACAUUGGGACUGAGAUACGGCCCAGACUCCUACGGGAGGCAGCAGUGGGGAAUAUUGCACAAUGGGCGCAGGCCUGAUGCAGUGACGCCGCGUGGGGGAUGACGGCCUUCGGGUUGUAAACCUCUUUCGACAGGGACGAAGCUUUGGUGACGGUACCUGUAUAAGAAGCACCGGCUAACUACGUGCCAGCAGCCGCGGUAAAAC